AGAGUUUGAUCCUGGCUCAGGAUGAACGCUGGCGGCGUGCCUAACACAUGCAAGUCGAACGAAGCUUGACGGAUGAUUUCUUCGGAAUGAAACCAGAUAUGACUUAGUGGCGGACGGGUGAGUAACACGUGAGCAACCUGCCUUUCAGAGGGGGAUAACGGCUGGAAACGGUCGCUAAUACCGCAUGAAGUGUUCGGAUGGCAUCAUCUGAACAUCAAAGAUUUAUCGCUGAAAGAUGGGCUCGCGUCUGAUUAGAUAGUUGGUGGGGUAACGGCCUACCAAGUCAACGAUCAGUAGCCGGACUGAGAGGUUGAACGGCCACAUUGGGACUGAGAUACGGCCCAGACUCCUACGGGAGGCAGCAGUGGGGAAUAUUGCACAAUGGGGGAAACCCUGAUGCAGCAACGCCGCGUGAAGGAUGACGGUUUUCGGAUUGUAAACUUCUUUUCUUAGUGACGAAGACAGUGACGGUAGCUAAGGAAUAAGCAUCGGCUAACUACGUGCCAGCAGCCGCGGUAAUACGUAGGAUGCAAGCGUUAUCCGGAUUUACUGGGUGUAAAGGGAGCGCAGGCGGGACUGCAAGUUGGAUGUGAAAUACCGUGGCUUAACCACGGAACUGCAUCCAAAACUGUAGUUCUUGAGUGAAGUAGAGGCAAGCGGAAUUCCGAGUGUAGCGGUGAAAUGCGUAGAUAUUCGGAGGAACACCAGUGGCGAAGGCGGCUUGCUGGGCUUUAACUGACGCUGAGGCUCGAAAGUGUGGGGAGCAAACAGGAUUAGAUACCCUGGUAGUCCACACUGUAAACG
rnacentral:rRNA from 1 species